UAAUCUGAUGAAUUCAAGGGGUUAUUUCA
rnacentral:piRNA from 1 species